GAGUUUGAUCAUGGCUCAGGACGAACGCUGGCGGCGUGCUUAACACAUGCAAGUCGAACGGAUCAGGGAAGCUUGCUUUUCUGGUUAGUGGCGAACGGGUGAGUAACACGUGAGUAACCUGCCCUUCACUCUGGGAUAACUCCGGGAAACCGGGGCUAAUACUGGAUAUGACUCGAACAGGCAUCUGUAUCGGGUGGAAAGAUUUAUUGGUGGAGGAUGGACUCGCGGCCUAUCAGCUUGUUGGUGAGGUAAUGGCUCACCAAGGCGACGACGGGUAGCCGGCCUGAGAGGGCGAUCGGCCACACUGGGACUGAGACACGGCCCAGACUCCUACGGGAGGCAGCAGUGGGGAAUAUUGCACAAUGGGCGAAAGCCUGAUGCAGCGACGCCGCGUGAGGGAUGAAGGCCUUCGGGUUGUAAACCUCUUUCAGCAGGGAAGAAGCAGCUGGGUUUUCUCAGGUGUGACGGUACCUGCAGAAGAAGCACCGGCUAACUACGUGCCAGCAGCCGCGGUAAUACGUAGGGUGCAAGCGUUGUCCGGAAUUAUUGGGCGUAAAGAGCUUGUAGGCGGUUUGUCGCGUCUGCUGUGAAAUUUCGGGGCUCAACCCCGAACUUGCAGUGGGUACGGGCAGACUAGAGUGUGGUAGGG
rnacentral:rRNA from 1 species